UCGAGCGGAUCUUCAUUAGCUUGCUUUUGAAGAUCAGCGGCGGACGGGUGAGUAACACGUGGGCAACCUGCCUGUAAGACUGGGAUAACUUCGGGAAACCGGAGCUAAUACCGGAUAAUCCUUUCCCUCUCAUGAGGGAAAGCUGAAAGACGGUUUCGGCUGUCACUUACAGAUGGGCCCGCGGCGCAUUAGCUAGUUGGUGAGGUAACGGCUCACCAAGGCAACGAUGCGUAGCCGACCUGAGAGGGUGAUCGGCCACACUGGGACUGAGACACGGCCCAGACUCCUACGGGAGGCAGCAGUAGGGAAUCUUCCGCAAUGGACGAAAGUCUGACGGAGCAACGCCGCGUGAACGAUGAAGGCCUUCGGGUCGUAAAGUUCUGUUGUCAGGGAAGAACAAGUAUCGGAGUAACUGCCGGUACCUUGACGGUACCUGACCAGAAAGCCACGGCUAACUACGUGCCAGCAGCCGCGGUAAUACGUAGGUGGCAAGCGUUGUCCGGAAUUAUUGGGCGUAAAGCGCGCGCAGGCGGUUCCUUAAGUCUGAUGUGAAAGCCCCCGGCUCAACCGGGGAGGGUCAUUGGAAACUGGGGAACUUGAGUGCAGAGAGGAGAGCGGAAUUCCACGUGUAGCGGUGAAAUGCGUAGAGAUGUGGAGGAACACCAGUGGCGAAGGCGGCUCUCUGGUCUGUAACUGACGCUGAGGCGCGAAAGCGUGGGGAGCGAACAGGAUUAGAUACCCUGGUAGUCCACGCCGUAAACGAUGAGUGCUAAGUGUUAGAGGGUUUCCGCCCUUUAGUGCUGCAGCAAACGCAUUAAGCACUCCGCCUGGGGAGUACGGCCGCAAGGCUGAAACUCAAAGGAAUUGACGGGGGCCCGCACAAGCGGUGGAGCAUGUGGUUUAAUUCGAAGCAACGCGAAGAACCUUACCAGGUCUUGACAUCCUCUGAC
rnacentral:rRNA from 2 species